GAAAUCACAAAUUGAUAAGAUGGAGAUUUGUGAUUCAUGGUGGCAUCGAUGGUUAUUCCAGACUACCAGUAUUUCUACAAGUAAACACAAAUAACUGUGCAGAAACAGUGUUAGCUGCAUUUUUGCAUGCGGUCCAAGAAUAUGGAACUCCAGAAAAAGUAAGAACAGACAAGGGAGGAGAAAAUGUCAAAGUGGCUGAGUAUAUGGUAACCCAGAAAGGACCCAAAAGCUUUAUUGCAGGGAGAAGUGUCCACAAUCAAAGAAUCUGUGUUAGAUCCUGAUGAUGAGACCCAUCUCCUAGCUCUUCAUCUAGUAUUUAAGUCCAGGAUUCAGCAGCAUUUGGAUGUCUUCAGAGAUUCCUUCUGUCGGAGACCUAUUCGAACAGAGGGAAAUCAAACGCCUCUUCAGCUGUGGAUCAGAGGACAGAUACUGGAUCCGUCAUGGUAUCCGCAAAGUGAGAAUGAUCAAUUGAACUUUGGAAUUGACUAUGAUGGUCCAGUGCCAGACCACGUUGAUCCUGACUGCGUGGAAAUACCGCCAACACCAACAUUUCCUAUAAUGGAGGAACACCAUCAGACAAUAUCUGAAAUU